AUUAGAGUUUGAUCCUGNCUCAGGAUGAACGCUAGCGGCAGGCCUAAUACAUGCAAGUCGGACGGGAUUGGGAGCUUGNUUCCAUGAGAGUGGCGCACGGGUGCGUAACACGUAUGUAACCUACCUUUAUCAGGGGGAUAGCCUCUCGAAAGAGAGAUUAACACCGCAUAAUAUGAUUGGAUAGCAUUAUUUAAUCAUCAAAUAUUUAUAGGAUAAAGAUGGGCAUGCGGGACAUUAGCUAGUUGGCGGGGUAACGGCCCACCAAGGCGACGAUGUCUAGGGGAUCUGAGAGGAUGACCCCCCACACUGGUACUGAGACACGGACCAG
rnacentral:rRNA from 1 species